rnacentral:rRNA from 1 species
AGUGAACGCUGGCGGUAGGCCUAACACAUGCAAGUCGAACGGCAGCACAGUAAGAGCUUGCUCUUACGGGUGGCGAGUGGCGGACGGGUGAGGAAUACAUCGGAAUCUACUUUUUCGUGGGGGAUAACGUAGGGAAACUUACGCUAAUACCGCAUACGACCUACGGGUGAAAGCAGGGGAUCUUCGGACCUUGCGCGAUUGAAUGAGCCGAUGUCGGAUUAGCUAGUUGGCGGGGUAAAGGCCCACCAAGGCGACGAUCCGUAGCUGGUCUGAGAGGAUGAUCAGCCACACUGGAACUGAGACACGGUCCAGACUCCUACGGGAGGGAGCAGUGGGGAAUAUUGGACAAUGGGCGCAAGCCUGAUCCAGCCAUACCGCGUGGGUGAAGAAGGCCUUCGGGUUGUAAAGCCCUUUUGUUGGGAAAGAAAAGCAGCAGGUUAAUACCCCGCUGUUCUGACGUUACCCAAAGAAUAAGCACCGGCUAACUUCGUG